rnacentral:rRNA from 1 species
GCAGGCUGNAACCCGCCUGCAUGAAGUUGGAAUCGCUAGUAAUCGCGGAUCAGCAUGCCGCGGUGAAUACGUUCCCGGGCCUUGUACACACCGCCCGUCACACCAUGAGAGUCGGGAACACCCGAAGUCCGUAGCCUGACCGCAAGGGGGGCGCGGCCGAAGGUGGGUUCGAUAAUUGGGGUGAAGUCGUAACAAGGUACC